rnacentral:rRNA from 3 species
UAAUUUUUAUGGAGAGUUUGAUCCUGGCUCAGGAUGAACGCUGGCGGCGUGCCUAAUACAUGCAAGUCGAGCGAACGGACGAGAAGCUUGCUUCUCUGAUGUUAGCGGCGGACGGGUGAGUAACACGUGGAUAACCUACCUAUAAGACUGGGAUAACUUCGGGAAACCGGAGCUAAUACCGGAUAAUAUUUUGAACCGCAUGGUUCAAAAGUGAAAGACGGUCUUGCUGUCACUUAUAGAUGGAUCCGCGCUGCAUUAGCUAGUUGGUAAGGUAACGGCUUACCAAGGCAACGAUGCAUAGCCGACCUGAGAGGGUGAUCGGCCACACUGGAACUGAGACACGGUCCAGACUCCUACGGGAGGCAGCAGUAGGGAAUCUUCCGCAAUGGGCGAAAGCCUGACGGAGCAACGCCGCGUGAGUGAUGAAGGUCUUCGGAUCGUAAAACUCUGUUAUUAGGGAAGAACAUAUGUGUAAGUAACUGUGCACAUCUUGACGGUACCUAAUCAGAAAGCCACGGCUAACUACGUGCCAGCAGCCGCGGUAAUACGUAGGUGGCAAGCGUUAUCCGGAAUUAUUGGGCGUAAAGCGCGCGUAGGCGGUUUUUUAAGUCUGAUGUGAAAGCCCACGGCUCAACCGUGGAGGGUCAUUGGAAACUGGAAAACUUGAGUGCAGAAGAGGAAAGUGGAAUUCCAUGUGUAGCGGUGAAAUGCGCAGAGAUAUGGAGGAACACCAGUGGCGAAGGCGACUUUCUGGUCUGUAACUGACGCUGAUGUGCGAAAGCGUGGGGAUCAAACAGGAUUAGAUACCCUGGUAGUCCACGCCGUAAACGAUGAGUGCUAAGUGUUAGGGGGUUUCCGCCCCUUAGUGCUGCAGCUAACGCAUUAAGCACUCCGCCUGGGGAGUACGACCGCAAGGUUGAAACUCAAAGGAAUUGACGGGGACCCGCACAAGCGGUGGAGCAUGUGGUUUAAUUCGAAGCAACGCGAAGAACCUUACCAAAUCUUGACAUCCUUUGACAACUCUAGAGAUAGAGCCUUCCCCUUCGGGGGACAAAGUGACAGGUGGUGCAUGGUUGUCGUCAGCUCGUGUCGUGAGAUGUUGGGUUAAGUCCCGCAACGAGCGCAACCCUUAAGCUUAGUUGCCAUCAUUAAGUUGGGCACUCUAAGUUGACUGCCGGUGACAAACCGGAGGAAGGUGGGGAUGACGUCAAAUCAUCAUGCCCCUUAUGAUUUGGGCUACACACGUGCUACAAUGGACAAUACAAAGGGCAGCGAAACCGCGAGGUCAAGCAAAUCCCAUAAAGUUGUUCUCAGUUCGGAUUGUAGUCUGCAACUCGACUACAUGAAGCUGGAAUCGCUAGUAAUCGUAGAUCAGCAUGCUACGGUGAAUACGUUCCCGGGUCUUGUACACACCGCCCGUCACACCACGAGAGUUUGUAACACCCGAAGCCGGUGGAGUAACCUUUUAGGAGCUAGCCGUCGAAGGUGGGACAAAUGAUUGGGGUGAAGUCGUAACAAGGUAGCCGUAUCGGAAGGUGCGGCUGGAUCACCUCCUUUCUAAG